UCCUAGUUAACCUAGGCAGUCUUGCCAGAGUCCCCACCUUUACGUGUUGGCAACUGACAAUAAGGGUUGCGCUCGUUGCUGGACUUAACCAAACACCUCACGGCACGAGCUGACGACAGCCAUGCAGCACCUAUGUAGAUCCCCUUACGGGAAUAAUCAUCUCUGAUUACGCGAUCUACAUUUCAAGCCUGGGUAAGGUUCUUCGCGUUGCAUCGAAUUAAACCACAUGCUCCACUGCUUGUGCGGGCCCCCGUCAAUUCUUUUGAGUUUCACCCUUGCGAGCGUACUCCCCAGGCGGCAUACUUAUCGCGUUAGCUUCGAUACAGAUAGGGUUGAGCCCACCUACAUCUAGUAUGCAUCGUUUAAGGCUAGGACUAC
rnacentral:misc_RNA from 1 species